CACUGAUCGAGUCGUCCUGCGCGGAAGAUGUAACGGGGCUAAGCCAGUCACCGAAGCUGCGGAUAUCCGUAAGGAUAUGGUAGGAGAGCGUUCUGUAAGCCUGUGAAGGUGUCUUGUAAAGGAUGCUGGAGGUAUCAGAAGUGCGAAUGCUGACAUGAGUAGCGAUAAUGCGGGUGAAAAGCCCGCACGCCGUAAGCCCAAGGUUUCCUGUUCAACGUUCAUCGGAGCAGGGUGAGUCGGCCCCUAAGGCGAGGCAGAGAUGCGUAGCUGAUGGGAAGCAGGUUAAUAUUCCUGCACCGUCGUUAGAUGCGAUGGGGGGACGGAUCGCGGAAGGUUGUCCGACUGUUGGAAUAGUCGGUUUUUGCAUCGAAGAAGGCUGUUAGGCAAAUCCGGCAGCGUAAUUCAAGGGUGUGAGACGAGCGAACUUGUUCGCGAAGCAAUCGGAAGUGGUUCCAAGAAAAGCCUCUAAGCUUCAGUCUAACGAGACCGUACCGCAAACCGACACAGGUGGGCGAGAUGAGUAUUCUAAGGCGCUUGAGAGAACUCGGGAGAAGGAACUCGGCAAAUUGGUACCGUAACUUCGGGAUAAGGUACGCCCUGGUAGCUUGACUGGCCUGCGCCAGAAGGGCAAAAGGGUUGCAAUAAAAUGGUGGCUGCGACUGUUUAAUAAAAACACAGCACUCUGCAAACACGAAAGUGGACGUAUAGGGUGUGACGCCUGCCCGGUGCUGGAAGAUUAAAUGAUGGGGUGCAAGCUCUUGAUUGAAGUCCCAGUAAACGGCGGCCGUAACUAUAACGGUCCUAAGGUAGCGAAAUUCCUUGUCGGGUAAGUUCCGACCUGCACGAAUGGCGUAACGAUGGCCACACUGUCUCCUCCCGAGACUCAGCGAAGUUGAAGUGUUUGUGAUGAUGCAAUCUACCCGCGGCUAGACGGAAAGACCCCAUGAACCUUUACUGUAGCUUUGCAUUGGACUUUGAACCAAUCUGUGUAGGAUAGGUGGGAGGCUUUGAAACCGGGACGCUAGUUUCGGUGGAGCCGUCCUUGAAAUACCACCCUGGUUUGUUUGAGGUUCUAACCUUGGUCCGUGAAUCCGGGUCGGGGACAGUGCAUGGUAGGCAGUUUGACUGGGGCGGUCUCCUCCCAAAGUGUAACGGAGGAGUUCGAAGGUACGCUAGGUACGGU
rnacentral:rRNA from 1 species